GUCCAGUGUAAUGAGUAGUUAUCACCUAAAUGGAGAAAGAUUCAGAAGUUGACAGUGUGGCUUCAAAAGAGUAGCAUCACCAUCAUCGUUAUCAGCAGCAGCUGUAACAGCACCCUUGUCAUCAAGAAUCCUGGUAGUACUAGUAUUUUCAUACUGAGCCUUGUGCCGGGGGCUUUUCUAAGAGCUUUGCUUUUCCCCUCUUGUGAAUCCUCAAGACCAAUCUUCUUUUGGUAGUUGUGAUAUUUCUGUCCAUGUUACAGAUGAAGAAAAUGAGAUUCAGAGAUGAAAGGAAAAUCCCCACAUCUUCCAGGGAUUAUUAGAUGUUGGCUCUGAGCAAAUCUAAAUUCCUGGGGAACCAGAACAUCAUUGUGGUGAAGGCCUUGAGAUAUAGAAGGUCAAGUUGUGUUCAAAGUCUCUGAGGCAGGGCUGGAUACUGUGCAGAGCCUAAGAAGUCAAGGGUUGUGACCCGUUGGCGCCUCCUACCUAAGUGUCUCGCUGAAAACAAGGUGCUUGGACACUGAGCCAUGAAACAAGAAUGCACCAACGGGACAAGGCUGUGUAAUUUGAAAUUGCUGCCUUUCCACCACUCCAGAGGCACCUGUUGACCGUUGUCCAUUGGCCUGAUGAGAAGUCUUUCAACAGCACAGAUGUUAAUGGAGGCGGUUAGGACUUACUUCGAGCAGCUUCCUGAUCUUGCAACUUCCUACCACAGCACUGGCUGCUUUCUUAAUGACAACACAGACCUACAAAGAUCUCAUCUAUGGCAUCUUUGUACCAGGAUGAUCUGACCCAAGUCCAUCCCACGUCCAUCGCCCGCUGGGAGAACGCCACACCCUGCGGUCAUCUCCCGAGACUCCUAGAAUGUCACCAGGAUAUAAAACCUUAGCAACGGACAGACCUUGGUUACUUACUGUGGAAUAAGGCCACUUAUUCUUAUAAGAGAAGCUGCCUGUCUUCUCUUUCAUAAUGUAUCACCUUCUGUUUGAUAACAACAAAACCAUUAGAAUUAUGGUAGAAGAUCAACAGUUGGGCACCGCCUGGACAAACACCAUUUGAAGGGGGGGCAAGUAUUUGGAGUAAGUGGGCCCUUGUGGGGCGCUCCA